UUGGCUCUGGAUUCAGCCCUCUCCCUGUUUUCACAAUCGGUCCCCAAGCCAACAGCCAGCUUUGGGUUAUCUGGCUCUCCUGAGGGUUCAUCCAGCUGCAGGGGAUCUCCAGGGGAGCACUGGCAUCACUGGAGUCCCAGUGACGACUCGAGGGCUGCUCAUCAGUGAAUGGAGACUCUUGGAUGAAUGAAUUGUCAUCCCUCUGGCAGCGGGGCCUGACCCUGGUGAGCUUUGGCUUCCGAGGAAUUUGGGAGGCUUCAUUCCUGAGUGUGAUGAGCACACAGUGCUGGUGGAAGAGCUCUUAGUUCAGCAGUGCACCCUGUGGUGGUAAAUCUGUGGAAAUACCUUCUGUUCAUGAGCCAGUGAGUGUCACUGCACGGCUGAAAAAAUUACAUCAUCCCACUGGGAGAUGCUCCACCCAGGGGGAGGAGCCAAGCAUUCCUACCUGAAUAUAAUCUGA